ensembl:lncRNA
GGGACUUUCUAGAUUCAUGAAGAUAACUAAUAGCACCUAGGACCAAAGUUUCAGUGGGCAGGGAUGACAAAGAAGAGAAUAUAAAUUUGGUUGUGACUGUUGCUGCACCGGACACAUUUGUUGGCAAUGUUUUGGGUAUGUUUGAAGUUUCUGGUUGCAAACUUGAAGUACUUUGAAGUGUUGCAUCUGCUUUUGUUGUAUUGUUCAGAGGUGUAGUAUUGCUAGUAAGAGUUUCAGCUGCUAUUGGUUUUAUGGAUGUGUGACCUGAAAUUGUAGAUGCUGGUGAUGUUGACGUAUUGUUGUUUGGACCUGAUGCUAUUGGAAAUUCUGGAAAUUCUGCUGUGUUAGUGAAACCUGUAAUAAUUCCAGUGGUAGUUGUUGAUGCAGUUGUGGUUUCUGAAUCCAAGUUUGGGCUUGAAGUUGUUUUGGUUGAAAGUGCAAGUGUGGCUGGAGCAGAAGAUGUACUGGUAAAAGCGACAGUUGUUUUUAAAAGAUCUCCUGAUGUUAGUUGAAAGGCAGUUGUUGUUUGAGUUGCAGUUGAGCUUGGAAUGGUGGCAGUUGCUGUGCUUGGAGCUGUAGCUGAGAUAUCAGCUGGAACUGUAGUGGUGGCCAGAACAUUCAUGGUUGUAAUGGGUGCAGAUGGGGUUCUUGGAGGUUCAGUUGUUUUUGUUGGAGUUAAAGUUGGUAAUAUAGUUACAUGUGAUGAGGAGAUAGGCAAAAUUGUUACAGCAAUAGUUAUGAUCUCUGGAGACACAGUUGUGAUUAUUGGAGGUGCAUUUGUCGUGGUAAUGAGUGUUGCCUGGCUUAGAGCUGGAACUGUAUUUGUGAAAGCAACAGUUGUGCUUGAUAGAGGUACAGUUGUUAUUUGGAAUGCAGUUGUUGUUGCCACUGAAGGAGUGUUCUUGCUUGAUGUUGUUGGAUCAUUAGUUGUUUUAGAUGUGGUUGAUGAAGCUGUAGUUGCGGUCUCUGCUGUUGUACUUUCUGAAGUUGUAGGCAGUGUUGUUGAAGUAAUGGGUGUGGUUUUUGUACUCACAACUGUGGAGGUGGGAUUUCAUUGGGGAUGCUGUAGUUAUUGAUCUUGUUACAGGUGCAGUUGUUUCUGAAGAUGUAGGCAUUGUUGAAGUAAGAGUUGUGGAUUCAGAAGUUACAGCUGUUGAUGUUGUUGGAUCAUGUGUUGCAGUAGAUGUGGUUGAUAAAGCUGUAGUCGUGGUUUCUGCUGUUGUACUUUCUGAAGUUGUAGUCAGUGUUGUUGAAGUAGUAGUUGUGGUGGUCUCUGUACUCACAACUGUGGUUGUUGGAAUUUCGCUAGUUGACAAUCCUUUAGUUGCUGAUGUUGUUACAGGUGCAGUUGUUUCUGAAGAUGUAGGUAUCGUUGAUGAAGUAAGAGUUGUGGAUUCUGAAGUUACAGCUGUUGAUGUAGCUGGAUUGUUUGUUUUUGUAGAUGUGGUUGAUGAAGCUGUAGUUGUGGUUUCUGCUGUUGUACUUUCAGAAGUUGUAGGCAGUGUUGUUGAAGUAGUCGUUGUGGUCUCUGUACUCACAACUGUGGUUGUUGGAAUUUCGCUAGUUGACAAUCCUUUAGUUGCUGAUUUUGUUACAGGUGCAGUUGUUUCUGAAGAUGUAGGUAUCGUUGUUGAAGUAAGAGUUGUGGAUUCUGAAGUUACAGCUGUUGAUGUUGCUGGAUUGUUUGUUUUUGUAGAUGUGGUUGAUGAAGCUGUAGUUGUGGUUUCUGCUGUUGUACUUUCUGAAGUUGUAGGCAGUGUUGCUGAAGUAGUAGUUGUGGUCUCUGUACUCACAACUGUGGUUGUUGGAAUUUCGCUAGUUGACAAUCCUUUAGUUGCUGAUGUUGUUACAGGUGCAGUUGUUUCUGAAGAUGUAGGUAUCGUUGAUGAAGCUGUAGUUGUGGUUUCUGCUGUUGUACUUUCUGAAGUUGUAGGCAGUGUUUCUGAGGUAGUAGUUGUGGUCUCUGUACUCACAACUGUGGUUGUUGGAAUUUCACUAGUUGACAAUCCUUUAGUUGCUGUUAUUCUUACAGGUGCAAUUGUUUCUGAAGAUGUAGGUAUCGUUGUUGAAGUAAGAGUUGUGGAUUCUGAAGUUACAGCUGUUGAUGUUGCUGGAUUGUUUGUUGUUGUAGAUGUGGUUGAUGAAGCUGUAGUUGUGGUUUCUGCUGUUGUACUUUCUGAAGUUGUAGGCAUUGUUGUGGAAGCAAUAGUUGUGGUUUCUGUACUCACAACUGUGGUGGUGGGAAUUUCAGUAGUUGAGGAUGCUGUAGUUAUUGAUGUUGUUACAGGUGCAGUUGUUUCUGAAGAUGUAGGUAUCGUUGUUGAAGUAAGAGUUGUGGAUUCUGAAGUUACAGCUAUUGAUGUUGCUGGAUUGUUUGUUGUUGUAGAUGUGGUUGAUGAAGCUGUAGUUGUGGUUUCUGCUGUUGUACUUUCUGAAGUUGUAGGCAUUGUUGUGGAAGAAAUAGUUGUGGUUUCUGUACUCACAACUGUGGUGGUGGGAAUUUCAGUAGUUGAGGAUGCUGUAGUUAUUGAUGUUGUUACAGGUGCAGUUGUUUCUGAAGUUGUAGGAAUUGUUGUUGAAGUAAGUGUUAGGGAUUCUGAAGUUACUACUGUUGAUGUUGUUGGAUUGUUUGUUAUUGUAGAUGUGGUUGAUGAAGCUGUAGUGGUGGUUUCCACUGUUGUACUUUCUAAAGUUGUAGGCAAUGUUGUUGAAGUAAUAGGUGUGGUCUCUGUACUUACAACUGUGGUUGUGGGAAUUUCUGUAGAUGAGGAAGCUUUAGUUACUGAUGUUGUUACAG